GCUCUCAGCAUCAGCUGGGAGGGCUUGGCGCUGCUUUGGUGCUGUGGAGUUGCCUGGUCCGCCUCCUCUUCGCGAAUAAGAAGAAAAGAUUCUGGAAGAGUUGGAGAAGAUAGUGCAUUCAGUCCCCAAACCAGCAGAUCGGCAAAGUAGGUAAGUUAUGAGAGAUUAAGUGACUAUGGAAAACAUUUUAAUUAAGUUCU
rnacentral:lncRNA from 1 species